GAUGAACGCUAGCGGCAGGCCUAAUACAUGCAAGUCGAACGGUGUCUUCGGACAUAGUGGCGCACGGGUGCGUAACACGUAUGCAACCUACCUUACAUAGGGGGAUAGCCUUUCGAAAGGGAGAUUAAUACCGCAUAAGACAGUAGCUGGGCAUCCAGCAGCUGUUAAAGAUUUAUCGAUGUAAGGUGGGCAUGCGUCCAAUUAGCUAGUUGGUGAGGUAACGGCUCACCAAGGCAAUGAUUGGUAGGGGAACUGAGAGGUCAAUCCCCCACACUGGCACUGAGAUACGGGCCAGACUCCUACGGGAGGCAGCAGUAGGGAAUAUUGGGCAAUGGACGCAAGUCUGACCCAGCCAUGCCGCGUGCAGGAUGAAGGCGUUAUGCGUUGUAAACUGCUUUUAUACAGGAAGAAACGACUCUUGCGAGAGGCAUUGACGGUACUGUAUGAAUAAGCACCGGCUAACUCCGUGCCAGCAGCCGCGGUAACAC
rnacentral:rRNA from 1 species